rnacentral:rRNA from 1 species
GAAGCGGCAACAGCUCAAAUUUGAAGAUCUGACCCUUUGAGGUCCGAGUUGUAAUUUGCAGAGGGUGUUUCAGGCGCGGCGCCGGUUUAAGUCCUUUGGAACAGGGUGUCAUAGAGGGUGAGAAUCCCGUAUGUGACCGGCGACCAACCCUAUGCGAAACCCCUUCGACGAGUCGAGUUGUUUGGGAAUGCAGCUCAAAAUGGGUGGUAAAUUUCAUCUAAAGCUAAAUACCGGCCAGAGACCGAUAGCGCACAAGUAGAGUGAUCGAAAGAUGAAAAGCACUUUGGAAAGAGAGUCAAACAGUACGUGAAAUUGUUGAAAGGGAAGCGCUUGCAGCCAGACCUGCUCGUGGGCGAUCAGCGGUGCUUCUCGCGCCGUGCACUCGUCCGCGGUCAGGCCAGCAUCGGUUCUGGCGGCCGGAUAAAGACUCGAAGAAUGUAGCUCCCCCCGGGGAGUGUUAUAGCUUCUUGUGCAAUGCGGUCAGCCGGGACCGAGGACCGCGCUUCGGCUAGGAUGCUGGCGUAAUGGCUGUAAGCGACCCGUCUUGAAACACGGACCAAGGAGUCUAACAUCUAUGCGAGUGUUUGGGCGUCAAACCCAUGCGCGCAAUGAAAGUGAACGUGAGGUGGGAACCCUCCAGGGGCGCACCAUCGACCGAUCCGGAUGUCUUCGGAUGGAUUUGAGUAAGAGCAUAGCUGUUGGGACCCGAAAGAUGGUGAACUAUGCCUGAAUAGGGUGAAGCCAGAGGAAACUCUGGUGGAGGCUCGCAGCGGUUCUGACGUGCAAAUCGAUCGUCAAAUUUGGGUAUAGGGGCGAAAGACUAAUCGA